rnacentral:rRNA from 1 species
AUUGAACGCUGGCGGCAGGCCUAACACAUGCAAGUCGAACGAGUGGCGGACGGGUGAGUAAUGUCUGGGAAACUGCCUGAUGGAGGGGGAUAACUACUGGAAACGGUAGCUAAUGCCGCAUACCACACGAUGUGCCAAGAUGGGAUUAGCUUGUUGGUGGGGUAACGGCUCACCAAGGCGACGAGGCCCAGCUGGUCUGAGAGGGUGACCGGCCACACUGGAACUGAGACACGGUCCAGACUCCGACGGGAGGCAGCAGUAGGGAAUCUUGCACAAUGGGCGAAAGCCUGACGCAGCCAUGCCGCGUGAAUGAAGAAGGUCUUCGGGUUGUAAAGUACUGUUAGCGGGGAAGCGUUACCCGAAGAAGAAGCCACGGCUAACUCCGUGCCAGCAGCCGCGGUAAUUC